GACGAACGCUGGCGGCGUGCUUAACACAUGCAAGUCGAACGGAAAGGCCCUGCUUUUGUUGGGUGCUCGAUUGGCGAACGGGUGAGUAACACGUGAGUAACCUGCCCUUGACUUUGGGAUAACUUCAGGAAACUGGGGCUAAUACCGGAUAGGAGCUCCUGCUGCAUGGUGGGGGUUGGAAAGUUUCGGCUGUUGGGGAUGGACUCGCAGCUUAUCAGCUUGUUGGUGGGGUAGUUGCUUACCAAGGCUUUGACGGGUAGCCGGCCUGAGAGGGUGACCGGCCACAUUGGGACUGAGAUACGGACCAGAAUGCUACGGGAGGCAGCAGUGGGGAAUAUUGCACAAUGGGCGGAAGCCUGAUGCAGCAACGCCGCGUGCGGGAUGACGGCCUUCGGGUUGUAAACCGCUUUCGCCUGUGACGAAGCGUGAGUGACGGUAAUGGGUAAAGAAGCACCGGCUAACUACGUG
rnacentral:rRNA from 1 species